UAUUGGUUGGCCAAAAAGUUCAUUUGGGUUUUUCCAUAACAUCAUGCAGGAGAACCUGAAUGAACUUUUUGGCCAACCCCA
rnacentral:miRNA from 1 species